rnacentral:rRNA from 1 species
CAGCCGCCGCGGUAAUACGAAGGGUGCAAGCGUUAAUCGGAAUUACUGGGCGUAAAGCGUGCGUAGGCGGUUUGUUAAGUCUGCUGUGAAAUCCCCGGGCUCAACCUGGGAAUGGCAGUGGAUACUGGCAAGCUAGAGUGUGUCAGAGGAUGGUGGAAUUCCCGGUGUAGCGGUGAAAUGCGUAGAGAUCGGGAGGAACAUCAGUGGCGAAGGCGGCCAUCUGGGACAACACUGACGCUGAGGCACGAAGGCGUGGGGAGCAAACAGGAUUAGAUACCCGGGUAGUCCCUGUCUCUUAUAC